UUGGGAUCUAGAGCUAGGUGUAAGACCCAGGUCUCUCUGUCUCAACCCCAUUGCCCACCAAAUUCAAGUAAUCUUCAACACAUAUCACAAUACAAUCAAUUCUAUUGCUACCCCCAGUAAGGAAGUGUGCAGGAGGCAGCUGAAUCGAUGUUUCUCUCUCAUCGAUGUUUCUAACUCUCUAUACCUCUCCCUUCCUCUCUGUAAAAAAUCAAUAAAAUAUAUUAUAAAAAAACCACAAAAAACAAAAACCUGUGAGAUCUGAGCCAGCCACACCUCUCUGAUGCGUUCCUUGAACACAUCAGAGAUGCUUCCAUCUUUGGGCUUUACCUGCUCGCUCUUCUGCCUGGAAUUCUGCCCAGAUCUCUCUAUUUCUCAAUCCUUCAUUCCCUUGCAGUCUUUGCUCAAAUUUAACUUUGUCAAAAAGUUAUCACUUUUAAAAUUGCCAUCCACCGGCAAUCUUGUUUUUUCUUAGCACUUACAAUCUGAUACGUAUUUUAUUUAUUUAAUGUCUCUUCUCCCUACCAGAAGGUAAGCUUUAUGAGGGCAGGAAUGUUUACCUCUUUAUUCAUUGUUUUAUUUCCAGUACCCACUAUAGUGCUGGUCACAAAAUAGGCACUUAAUAAAUAGCUAUUGAAUAAAUAAGUGAGUAGUAUUCCACUCUGUAGCUAGGUACUGAAUAAGACAGAAUUCCCUUCCAUAAUAUAUUUUGCUUCCUUUUUCUAGGAGGUCUCAGGGACUAUGGGCUUAGAGAUAAAAUUCUCCUCUAGAGCAGGGGUCUGUAAAUACAGCCAAAUUCCAACCACGUCUUCUUUUUGUACUGCCCACGAGGCUCAGUCCGGCCGCCCUAUCGGUACCUAAAGUAGGAACUGCAGCUACAGAGGAUGUUCUUGUGGGCAUUGAACUCAAAGCCAUUGACCUUGAUGACCACGUCGCAGAGCUUGCCCUCUAGCCUAAGCUCGUUGAAGAUCUCACAGGUCAUCGCACUCAUCUUCCUCUCCAUGUGAGCUCCCCCCUGGCUCCCCAGCCUCCGUGUUCAUGGAAACCAGGCCCGAGGAGGCAGAAGGGAGAUGCAGAAUGGAUGACCCUUGCACCUCGGCCCGGCUGCCCAGGCCUCUCCUGGCCUCUGGACGCGAGGUAGACACUCACUGUCUCCUGAGGAGGCCCAGGACCGCCUCUGGAUGGGGAACAGAACCGUUUUUGGGCGCCUUUUCCUGCCCUCCCCUGCCCUCCCC